AACGAACGCUGGCGGCAGGCCUAACACAUGCAAGUCGAACGCUCUAGCAAUAGAGAGUGGCAGACGGGUGAGUAACGCGUGGGAAACUUCCUAGGGGUACGGAAUAGCUCAGGGAAACUUGGGGUAAUACCGUAUGAUGCCGUAAGGCCAAAGAUUUAUCGCCCUUAGAUGUGCCCGCGUCGGAUUAGCUAGUUGGUGAGGUAAUGGCUCACCAAGGCGACGAUCCGUAGCUGGUUUGAGAGAAUGACCAGCCACACUGGGACUGAGACACGGCCCAGACUCCUACGGGAGGCAGCAGUGGGGAAUCUUGGACAAUGGGCGCAAGCCUGAUCCAGCCAUGCCGCGUGAGUGACGAAGGCCUUAGGGUUGUAAAGAUCUUUCAGUGGGGAAGAUAAUGACGGUACCCACAGAAGAAGCCCCGGCUAACUCCGUGCCAGCCGCCGCAGUAA
rnacentral:rRNA from 1 species